rnacentral:rRNA from 1 species
AUGAACGCUGGCGGCGUGCCUAAUACAUGCAAGUCGAGCGAACGGACGAGAAGCUUGCUUCUCUGAUGUUAGCGGCGGACGGGUGAGUAACACGUGGAUAACCUACCUAUAAGACUGGGAUAACUUCGGGAAACCGGAGCUAAUACCGGAUAAUAUUUUGAACCGCAUAGUUCAAAAGUGAAAGACGGUCUUGCUGUCACUUAUAGAUGGAUCCGCGCUGCAUUAGCUAGUUGGUAAGGUAACGGCUUACCAAGGCAACGAUGCAUAGCCGACCUGAGAGGGUGAUCGGCCACACUGGAACUGAGACACGGUCCAGACUCCUACGGGAGGCAGCAGUAGGGAAUCUUCCGCAAUGGGCGAAAGCCUGACGGAGCAACGCCGCGUGAGUGAUGAAGGUCUUCGGAUCGUAAAACUCUGUUAUUAGGGAAGAACAUAUGUGUAAGUAACUGUGCACAUCUUGACGGUACCUAAUCAGAAAGCCACGGCUAACUACGUG